rnacentral:rRNA from 1 species
GACGAACGCUGGCGGCGUGCUUAACACAUGCGAGUCGAACGGAAAGGCCCUGCUUUUGUGGGGUGCUCGAGUGGCGAACGGGUGAGUAACAAGUGAGUAACCUGCCCUUGACUUUGGGAUAACUUCAGGAAACUGGGGCUAAUACCGGAUAGGAGCUCCUGCUGCAUGGUGGGGGUUGGAAAGUUUCGGCGGUUGGGGAUGGACUCGCGGCUUAUCAGCUUGUUGGUGGGGUAGUGGCUUACCAAGGCUUUGACGGGUAGCCGGCCUGAGAGGGUGACCGGCCACAUUGGGACUGAGAUACGGCCCAGACUCCUACGGGGGGCAGCAGUGGGGAAUAUUGCACAAUGGGCGGAAGCCUGAUGCAGCAACGCCGCGUGCGGGAUGACGGCCUUCGGGUUGUAAACCGCUUUCGCCUGUGACGAAGCGUGAGUGACGGUAAUGGGUAAAGAAGCACCGGCUAACUACGUG